GACGAACGCUGGCGGCGUGCCUAAUACAUGCAAGUCGAGCGGAAGUUGGAGAGCUUGCUCUUCAACUUUAGCGGCGGACGGGUGAGUAACACGUGGGCAACCUGCCCUGCAGAUCGGGAUAACUCCGGGAAACCGGUGCUAAUACCGAAUAGUUUUCGCCACCCCCUGGUGGCGUACGGAAAGACGGUUUCGGCUGUCACUGCAGGAUGGGCCCGCGGCGCAUUAGCUAGUUGGUGGGGUAACGGCCCACCAAGGCGACGAUGCGUAGCCGACCUGAGAGGGUGAUCGGCCACACUGGGACUGAGACACGGCCCAGACUCCUACGGGAGGCAGCAGUAGGGAAUCUUCCGCAAUGGACGAAAGUCUGACGGAGCAACGCCGCGUGAGUGACGAAGGUUUUCGGAUCGUAAAACUCUGUUGUGAGGGAAGAACAAGUGCCACUUAACUACUGAUACCUUGACGGUACCUCACCAGAAAGCCACGGCUAACUACGUGCCAGCAGCCGCCGUAAAAC
rnacentral:rRNA from 1 species